GGACCGUAGCUCCGUGGUAGAGCACCUGCCUUGCUGCAUGCAAGAGGUCCCAGGUUCAAUCCCUGGUGUCUCCA